CCUACGGGAGGCAGCAGUAGGGAAUAUUGCUCAAUGGGGGAAACCCUGAUGCAGCAACGCCGCGUGGAGGAUGAAGGUUUUCGGAGUGUAAAGCCCUUUUGUUAGAGAAGAUAAUGACGGUACCUAACGAAUAAGCACCGGCUAACUCCGUGCCAGCAGCCGCGGUAAUACGGAGGGUGCAAGCGUUAGUCGGAAUGACUGGGCGUAAAGAGCGCGUAGACGGGAUAGCAAGUCAGAUGUGAAAUCCUAUGGCUUAACCAUAGAACUGCAUUUGAAACUGUUAUUCUAGAGUAUGGGAGAGGUAGGUGGAAUUCUUGGUGUAGCGGUGAAAUGCGUAGAGAUCAAGAGGAAUACUCAUUGCGAAGGCGGCCUGCUAGAACGUAACUGACGCUGAUGCGCGAAAGCGUGGGGAGCAAACAGGAUUAGAUACCCGAGUAGUC
rnacentral:rRNA from 1 species